UGCAGUCGAACGGUGAAGCCCUUCGGGGUGGAUCAGUGGCGAACGGGUGAGUAACACGUGGGCAAUCUGCCCUGCACUCUGGGACAAGCCCUGGAAACGGGGUCUAAUACCGGAUAUGACCUUCCUCUGCAUGGGGGUUGGUGGAAAGCUCCGGCGGUGCAGGAUGAGCCCGCGGCCUAUCAGCUUGUUGGUGGGGUAAUGGCCUACCAAGGCGACGACGGGUAGCCGGCCUGAGAGGGCGACCGGCCACACUGGGACUGAGACACGGGCCCAGACUCCUACGGGAGGCAGCAGUGGGGAAUAUUGCACAAUGGGCGAAAGCCUGAUGCAGCGACGCCGCGUGAGGGAUGACGGCCUUCGGGUUGUAAACCUCUUUCAGCAGGGAAGAAGCGCAAGUGACGGUACCUGCAGAAGAAGCACCGGCUAACUACGUGCCAGCAGCCGCGGUAAUACGUAGGGUGCGAGCGUUGUCCGGAAUUAUUGGGCGUAAAGAGCUCGUAGGCGGCCUGUCGCGUCGGAUGUGAAAGCCCGGGGCUUAACCCCGGGUCUGCAUUCGAUACGGGCAGGCUAGAGUGUGGUAGGGGAGAUCGGAAUUCCUGGUGUAGCGGUGAAAUGCGCAGAUAUCAGGAGGAACACCGGUGGCGAAGGCGGAUCUCUGGGCCAUUACUGACGCUGAGGAGCGAAAGCGUGGGGAGCGAACAGGAUUAGAUACCCUGGUAGUCCACGCCGUAAACGUUGGGAACUAGGUGUGGCGACAUUCCACGUCGUCGGUGCCGCAGCUAACGCAUUAAGUUCCCCGCCUGGGGAGUACGGCCGCAAGGCUAAAAACUCAAGGAAUUGACGGG
rnacentral:rRNA from 1 species